GACGAACGCUGGCGGCGUGCUUAACACAUGCAAGUCGAGCGGUAAGGCCCUUUCGGGGGUACACGAGCGGCGAACGGGUGAGUAACACGUGGGUGACCUGCCCUCAGCUCUGGGAUAAGCCCGGGAAACUGGGUCUAAUACCGGAUAUGACUCCACGGUGCAUGUCGUGGGGUGGAAAGCCUUGUGCGGCUGAGGAUGGGCCCGCGGCCUAUCAGCUUGUUGGUGGGGUGAUGGCCACCAAGGCGACGACGGGUAGCCGGCCUGAGAGGGCGACCGGCCACACUGGGACUGAGACACGGCCCAGACUCCUACGGGAGGCAGCAGUGGGGAAUCUUGCGCAAUGGGCGAAAGCCUGACGCAGCGACGCCGCGUGAGGGAUGACGGCCUC
rnacentral:rRNA from 1 species